UCUCCUUUGGCUCCUUGCCGUGUGGGACUGAGCAACUGCUAGAUCCUUGGACUUCCAUUCUACAGCUGCUACUGACCGUUGUUGGGAGUUGGACUGCAGGCUUGACCGGAGGCCCAUCACAGCAGAAGAGAACAGAGCACUUUAACCUAUAAAGACAAAGAAUUCUACAGUUUGCAGUUGCAGUUCCUGCCCAAUGGUUUCUUUUGCUCAGUGGACCGUUAGUAAAAUGCGUGGGAAAAGUUGGAUGAAAAUGGGGAGAGAAGGAGUCCCCUCCACAACCUGGUGCUCAAGAGAUUCAGGGGGAGCACCCUCAAGGACCAAGUGCCCAAGAGACUCAGAGGGAGCACCCUCAAGAACUUCGUGGUCAAGAGACUCAGAGGGAGCAAUUCCACAACUUCAUGCUCAAGAGACUCAGAGGGAGCACUCUCAAGAACCUCAUGCUCAAGAGACUCAGAGGGAGCGCCCUCCAGGAUCUCGUGCUCAGGAGAUUCAGAGGGAGCACCC
rnacentral:lncRNA from 1 species